CAGCCUUCCGCCCAAGGACAAAUGGGGUCAGGGCAGCAGCUGUACCUGGCGAGAAUGCACUCCCUUCCUGGGGGGCCACUUUUUUCCAGGAGUGCAUGGCCCUGGGCUGGCUGCUGAGACCUGUGCCCAGCCCCUCCGUGGUGGUACUCUCGUCAGACACCAGCCUCUGCGGCACCCAGGGUGGAGGUCCUGCUAUCUCCUCUCUGCAGAUGAGGAGUUCUCUCAUCCGAACCUCACGGCUCAAGGAACAGAAAGCUGGACCAACGGUGGUCAAAUACAGUGGGCGCUUAACUACCUCAUGGGAGUGAAUGGAAAGGAGUUCCCAAGGACCCCGGGUUCUAGCCCCAGGGCCCUGUGGAUGGAUCUCACGUGGAAAGGGGGCUUUGCCUCUCAAGGAUCUGGCGAUGCGGAGAGCAGCCUGGGUUAUCCUGCAGCCACGAGAAUCUAAUACAUUCAUGAAAGGAGCCUGGAGGUGGGUGGCACCGGCGUUGAGAAGGAGGUAAUGACAUCACCCAGGGCCCUGGCUCCUUUCCCUCAGUCAUCCUUGAAUGUUGGCUACUUGUUCUCUGGCUCCUGACCUCACAGUCACAAGACGGCUGCCACUGCUCCAGGCGUCCCAUCCUCACACGACAGCCUCUGAAGCAGAGAGUGAGAAAGGGCAUGGAGUGGCAUCACGGUUCAAAGCUGGCAGCCCCUGGUCCCCAGACUGCACCGGGCCAGUUCCAGCUUCUGGGGCCUGAGAGGCACGGGCCUCGGGUUCCCUGUGAGAAUUGUUCCUGGUGAUAGACCUGUGGGCUCUCUGGGGGCUGAGCGAGAGCCGUCCUAACGGGGAGAUGGCCCAUCCAGGGCCAACACGGCACCUGUGCGUUCUCCCAUCCUCCUUCCCAAGGGAGUCCUGGCCAGGCCCCUCUCCUGUGUCCGAGGAGUCUUGCCAGCCCUCAUGGUCUGUGUCACGAUCUGCAGUAGCUGUCCCAUCAGGGCUGAUCUGGAAGGAGCCUUUCCUCCACAUGGCUUUUCCCAAGUCAGCCCUCAAGUGCUGUGAGCCUGGACCGCGCCCCUGUCCUCCAGGCAGCUGCCUGCACUCCACACCCAUGCGCGUGGCAGCUCUGCGCCCAGCAGCCCUCCUGGUGUGAUUUUUAUUUAUUUACCUGAAUACUGGAACAGCUGCUUUAUUGAGAUUCAUUGGUCGCAAGGCUUAAUUAAAAUAAUGCCACGCGUCUCACUCAGCGUGGGUCACCAAAGCAAAUGUUUGUUUUGCUGCUGUCAGUUAGGGCCACGUGUGAUGAAGCGGCGGCUCCCGGCAGGGAAGGCACGUGGGCCCUGACCCCCUGCACCUCCCUGGGUUGCA
rnacentral:lncRNA from 1 species